UCUUUAAAUAGAAGCCCUGUUUUUAUUUACGUCUGAACCUGCUAAGGGUCAUAUUUUGGUCUUCAUUCCAAUUCUUAUCCUCAUUUAUCGAAGAAAAGGCAUUUACAAAGAAGCCUUAAUCCAAACAAGGAUAUACUUUAUUAGUUGUUAGUGGAUAUCUAAAUAACCUUCAUUCUUCAAAUAUAUUCAGUUUUAUUCUCUAUUUGUUAUUUUGCAGAGAUGAAGUUGUUUUUCAUUGUCGAAGCUUUAGGUGAAGGUCUUCUUUUUCGUUCUUGCCGUUCCUGAAACUGUUGCAGCAAAAAUUGAGCUUUCAGAUGGAGUUAUACUGAGGUGUAUUUUUUUCGUGGAAGCCAACUAUGACCCCCUGUGAGUUUGUUAGCUCUGCAUUGAAACAAGCAGAUUUGGAGUUUGAGCUAAUACAUCCGGUCCAACGGCGGGCAAUCCCUCGGUUCACCAAAGCAGAGGAGAACAGUAAAACAUUAGAGGAUGAGGACUUAGUACCUUCAGCUCUAAUUAAGUUCAAGCCAUUGAAAACGGAUUCUGUUGUUUUCACAUGUGUUAAAAAUAAAUUGCUUCAAAUUAGUGAGACGUUUGUAAAUGCUUAAACAAUUCCUUUUAUAUUAACAGUAUUGGAUUCU